GAUGAACGCUGGCGGCGUGCCUAAUACAUGCAAGUCGAGCGAACGGACGAGAAGCUUGCUCCUCUGACGUUAGCGGCGGACGGGUGAGUAACACGUGGAUAACCUACCUAUAAGACUGGGAUAACUUCGGGAAACCGGAGCUAAUACCGGAUAAUAUUUUGAACCGCAUGGUUCAAUAGUGAAAGACGGUUUUGCUGUCACUUAUAGAUGGAUCCGCGCUGCAUUAGCUAGUUGGUAAGGUAACGGCUUACCAAGGCAACGAUGCAUAGCCGACCUGAGAGGGUGAUCGGCCACACUGGAACUGAGACACGGUCCAGACUCCUACGGGAGGCAGCAGUAGGGAAUCUUCCGCAAUGGGCGAAAGCCUGACGGAGCAACGCCGCGUGAGUGAUGAAGGUCUUCGGAUCGUAAAACUCUGUUAUUAGGGAAGAACAUAUGUGUAAGUAACUGUGCACGUCUUGACGGUACCUAAUCAGAAAGCCACGGCUAACUACGUG
rnacentral:rRNA from 1 species